GUCUUGUUAUCUAUGAUAUUGGGAGGGUCUUAUUAUCUGUGAUAUUGGGAUGUUUACAGUUGGGAGGGUCUUGUUAUCUGUCAUAUUGGGAUGUUUACUGUUGGGGGGGUCUUGUUAUCUGUGAUAUUGGGAGGGUCUUAUUAUCUGUGAUAUUCGGAGGGUCUUGUUAUCUAUGAUAUUGGGAGGGUCUUAUUAUCUGUGAUAUUGGGAUGUUUACAGUUGGGAGGGUCUUGUUAUCUGUCAUAUUGGGAUUGUCUUGUUAUCUGUGAUAUUGGGAGGGUCUUAUUAAAUAUGAUAUUUGGAGGGUCUUAUUAUAUGUAAUAUUGGGAGGGUCUUAUUAUCUGUUAUAUUUGGAUGGUCUUACUAUCUAUGAUUUUGGGAGGGUCUUAUUAUAUGUGAUAUUUGGAUGGUCUUAUUAUCUAUGAUUUUUGGAGGGUCUUAUUAUCUGUUAUAUUUGAAGGGUCUUAUUAUCUAUGAUUUUGGGAGGGUCUUAUUAUAUUAGAUAUUGUGAGGGUCUUAUUAUCUAUUAUAUUGGGGGGGUCUUAUUAUCUGUGAUAUUGGGAGGGUCUUAUUGUAUGUUAUAUUGGGAGUGUCUUAUUAUCUGUGAUAUUGGGAGGGUCUUAUUGUAUGUUAUAUUGGGAGUGUCUUAUUAUCUGUGAUAUUGGGAGGGUCUUAUUGUAUGUUAUAUUGGGAGUGUCUUAUUAUCUGUGAUAUUGGGAGGGUCUUAUUAUCUAUGAUAUUGG
rnacentral:lncRNA from 1 species